rnacentral:misc_RNA from 1 species
GAUGAAGAACGUAGCGAAAUGCGAUAAGUAAUGUGAAUUGCAGAAUUCAGUGAAUCAUCGAAUCUUUGAACGCACCUUGCGCUCUUUGGUAUUCCGAAGAGCAUGCCUGUUUGAGUGUCAUGAAAAUAUCAACCUUGACUUGGGUUUUGUGCUCUAGUCUCGGCUUGGAAUUGGGUGCUUGCCGCUUUUACGAGCGGCUCACCUUAAAUGUAUUAGCUGGAUCUGUCUUUGAGACUUGGUUUGACUUGGCGUAAUAAGUAUUUCGCUAAGGACAUUCUUCGGAGUGGCCUCGUUUCUAGGACGCUUGUCCGCUUUCCAAUACAAGUUCCACCUCGUGGACAUGACUUUUUAUUAUCUGGACUCAAAUCAGGUAGGACUACCCGCUGAACUUAAGCAUAUCAAUAAGCGGAGGA